rnacentral:tRNA from 1 species
GGAGGUAUGGUUCAAGUGGUAGAGCCCCUGCCUAGCAAGCACGAGGUUCUAAGUUCAAAUCCUAGAACCACCC